AAGGCUUUAGCUUAAUUAAAGUGUCUGCUUUGCAUGCAGAAGAUGUGGGUUAGUGCCCCGUAAGUCUUA
rnacentral:tRNA from 1 species